rnacentral:rRNA from 1 species
GUCCCGGCGGUAAACGAUGGGCACUAGGUGUCGGAGGUAUCGACCCCUCCGGUGCCGCAGUUAACACAUUAAGUGCCCCGCCUGGGGAGUACGGCCGCAAGGUUGAAACUCAAAGGAAUUGACGGGGCCCGCACAAGCGGUGGAGUAUGUGGUUUAAUUCGACGCAACGCGAAGAACCUUACCUGGGCUUGACAUACGGCGGACAAGGUUGGAGACAACCUCUCUCCUUCGGGAGCCGCCGCACAGGUGCUGCAUGGCUGUCGU